rnacentral:rRNA from 1 species
CAGCCGUAAACUAUGCUCGCUAGGUGUCAGGCAUGGCGCGACCGUGUCUGGUGCCGCAGGGAAGCCGUGAAGCGAGCCACCUGGGAAGUACGGCCGCAAGGCUGAAACUUAAAGGAAUUGGCGGGGGAGCACAACAACGGGUGGAGCCUGCGGUUUAAUGGACUCAACGCCGGACAACUCACCGGGGACGACAGCAAUAUGUAGGCCAGGCUGAAGACCUUGCCUGAAUCGCUGAGAGGAGGUGCAUGGCGUAGACGUCU